rnacentral:lncRNA from 1 species
CAAAUGUAAUUUCCCUUUGUCAUGUAAGUUAAUAUAUUCACUUGUCUGAGAAUUAGGAAGUGUGUGACUUUGGGAGGCUGUUAAUCUUCAUAGAACACACAGGAUGGACACCUUACCCAUCUAGACCUGGUUUGGCUCAGUGAGAGUUGGAGAGACUCACCCAGGCUUCUUCCAGAUAUUUGCAUGAGAAUAUGAAUGAGUUUAUGUAUAAUUAGUUGUUAUACAAAUAUUUGUGACUUAAAGUAUAUAUCUAUGCAAAAGCGUAAAUCACAAACUGAGAUGGCAAAAAUUUACUUUCAAUAACCAUUGACACUUAAUGCAUUUUUUGAUAUUUUAGAG